AUAGUGCUGCAAUGAACAUAUGCAUGCAUAUGUCUUUUUGGUAGAAUGCUUUAUUUUCCUUUGGGUAUAUACCUUGUAAAGGGAUUUACUGGGUCGAAUGGUGGUUCUAAGUUCUUUGAGAAAUCUCCAAACUGCUUUGUACAGUGGCUGAACUAAUUUACAUUACCACCAACAGUGUGUAUGUGUUCCCUUUUCUCCACCGCCUUAACUAGCAUCUGUUAUUUUUGCCUAUGUCGUAAUUUAGUUCACAGAGAUCUUGAUUGCUUUUCCCUUCCAUAAGAUAUCAAACUGGUCCAUCACAUUGAUGAUAUUGUGCUAAUUGGAACUAGUGGGUGAGAAGUAGCAAUUACUUUAGGCUUAGCAGUAAGACUUCUUUUGUGCCAGGAGGUGGGAAAUAAAUCUGACAAAAAUUCAGGGGCCUUCUACAUUAGUAAAAUCUCUAGGGGUUCAGUGGUGUGGGGUCAAGAUAUCCCUUCUAAAAUGAAGGAUAAGUUACUGCAUUUGGCUCCUCCUGCAACCAGAAAAUAGGCACAAUGCCUUGUAGACCAUUUUGAAUUUUAGAGGCAACAUAUUCCUUAUUUGGGUAUGUUACUCUGGCCCAUUUACCCAGUGACCCCAAAAGCUACUUGUUUUGAGUAGGACCCAGAAUAAGAGAAGGCUCCGCAACAGGUCCAGGCUGCUAUGUAAGCUGCCCUGCCGUUUGGGCCAUAUGAUCCAGUGGAUCUAAUGGUGCUUGAAGGGUCAGUGACAGAUAGGGAUGCUGUUUGGAGACUUUGGUAGAUCUCUAUAGGUGAAUCACCAUGCAGGCAUAGGGUUUUGGAGCAAAGUCCUGUCACCCUCCACAGAUAACUACUCUCUUAUUGAGAAACAGCUCCUGACCUGCUACUGGGCCUUAGAGGCUAAAUGCUUAAUGAUGGGCCACCAAGUUACCAUGUGACCUGAGGUGUUCAUCACAAACUGGUUGCUGUCUGACCCACUGAGCCAUAAAGUUGGACACACACAGCAGAGCACUUAUUAUCAAAUAGAUGUGGUAUAUAUGUGAUUGGACCUGAGCAGGCCCCUAAUAAACAGUAAGGUACAUGAAGAAGUGGUCUAAAUGCCCAUGGUCCCCUCUCCUGUUACAUUGCCUUCUCUCUCCUAGCCUGCACUUAAGGCCUCAUGGGCAGUUACCUACAAUUAGUUAACAGAGGAAGAGAAGACUCAGGCCUAGUGUACAGAUGGUUCUGUAUAAUAUGCAGGCAACACCUGAAAGUAGACAGCUGCAGCACUAUGCCCUUGUUUGGGUUAUCAAUGAAGGAUAGUGGUGAAGGGAAAGCCUACCAGUGAGCAGAACUUUGAGCGGUGCACAUGGUUGUUCACUUUGACUGAAAGGAAUUGUCCAGAUGUGUAAUUAUAUAUUGAUUAUUGGGCUGUGGCCAAUGAUGUGGCUCUAUGGUUGGGGACUUGGAAGGAACAUAAUUGGGAAAUUGAUGACAAGGAUAUUUUGGGAAGAGGUCUGUGGGUAGUCCUCUCUGAAUGAAAAACUAAAUGAAGAUAUUUGUGUCCUGUAUGAAUGUUCAACAAUAGCUGACCCUAGCAGAGGAAAAUUUUAAUAAUCAAAUGGAGAGGGUGACCCAUUCUGUGAAUACCAGUUAGCGUCUUUCUCCAACCACCCAUGUCAUCACUCAGUGGGAUCAUUAACAAAGUGGCUAUGGAGGCAGGGAUGGAAGUUAUACAUGGGCUUAGCAACAUGGAUUGCUACACACCAAGGCUGACAUGCCUAUGGCCAUGGCUGUGUGCCUAAUCUGCCAUCAGCUGUGAUGAACACUAAAUCCCUGAUAUGGCAGCAUUGCCCAAGGUGAUCAGCUAGGUACCUGAUGACAGAUUCUUUACACUGGACAGCUUCCAUAAUGGAAGAAGCAGUUUUUCUUCUUACUGAAAUAGUCACUUACUCUGGAUAUGGAUUUGCCUUCCAUGAGUGUCAUGCUUCUGCCAAAACUACCAUCUGUGGACUUACACAAUGCUCUGUCCACUGUCCUAUAUUUUACACAGCAUUGCUUCUGAUCAAGCAACUCACUUCACAGCAAAAAAGUGCGGCAAUGGGCCCAUGCUUAUGGAAUUCACUAAUCUUACCAUGUUUUGCACCAUCCUGAAGCACCUGGCUUGAUAGACCUGAGGAAUGGUCUUUUGAAGCUUAGUUACGUUGGCAACUAGGUGGUGAUAUCUUGCAGGACUGGGAUAAGGUCCUCCACAAAGCUGUACAUGCUUUGAAUCAGCACCCAAUAUAUGGUGGUGUUUCUCCCAUAGCCAGGAUUCAAGGGUUCAGUAAUAAAGGGGUGAAAAUGGGAGUGACACUAUUACUAAUUACCCCUAGUGAUCUACUAGUAAAACUUUGUUUCCUGUUCCUAUGACUUCAUGCUCUGCUGGUUGAAGGUCUUAGUUCCAAUGAGGGGACCCCUUUCACUAGGAGACAAAACAGUGAUUCCAUUGAACUGUAAGUUAAGACUGCUUCCCAGCCACUUUAGGCUCCUCAUUCCUCUGAAUCUACAGGCAAAGAAGAGUUGUGGUGCUGGCUGGGGUGACUGAUCCUGACUAUUAAGGAGGAAUUGGACUACUACUUUACAAUGGAGACUUGAACUGAAACAUCAGCUUUUCCUUGUCUUGGGCCUACUGGCCUUCAGACUGGAAAUCCAUCAUCCACUCUCCUGGGUAUUCUGCAGAUUUUGAGACUUGUCAUCCUCCAUGAUUAGAAAUCAAUAGCCCCAGGAGGUUAUCUACACCAGCCUACUGCCUACAGCAUCAGUGGGAGCUUAUUUGGCAUUUGAUACCAAUUCCAGAAGAGGAUAUGAAUCCCUGAGUGCAUUUCCCAAUGGCACACACUUGCUUCUUGUUUUCUUGUAAGUAUCCUAUUGUUAAUGGCCCAUUAUACCAGAAACAAAAAUGUCUAUAUAUGCAUUUUCAUUUGGUCUAUCAUUGUUUCCAAUGGUCUGGAUUAUUUGAUUAGUCUCAAUCCAGUUUUCUUUGAGGGAAUAUGGAGACACAAGGGUUGUCUGUUUUUAGUGCUAAAACAUUAAAACUUAGGGCUCUUUCUUAUGGCUAUAGCCUUGAAGAUGCACUCCUUAGCUCCAUAACAUUUUUCGUGUCCUUUUUUUUUCCUUUUCCCUUUCCUUUUCCUUUUUCCUUUUUCCUUUCCUUUUCCCUUUCCCUUUCCUUUCCUUUCCUUUCCUUUCUUGUUGUCAGGACUGCAACACACUCUCAAUUCAGUCUUCCUGAGUGCAACUGAUACUAUUUUACAGAUGUGGCAUGGUUAUCAUUUUCUAACUUUAGCUUUGCUAAUCUGGCAUUUUCUAACUUUAGUUUUGUUAAUUCAGGCUGUUCCUUCUCACUUAAAAAUAUUUCCUCUUAUUUGAAUUUGAGUAUGCUGCCACCAAGUGGUUGCCAGUUCUUUGAUUAACAUGGUCUCAUAAUUCAAACUGCAGGCUGCACUGUUUCUAUUGCUGUUGUUGGUGUAUGUGUCAGGAUUGGGAUAGUGAAUGCCUAUGAAUAGUUGAAGGUAUCAGGUAUUAGGGGAAGUUAGGGUCAAUCUUCACGAAACAGCAGGAAGAUAUUGAAAAAUAAAAAUGGCCUGUAACUUGAGGAGGGGAGAGGAAGGACAGUAUCUGUCCAAAGAAUGAGAUCAGGAAUAGAGGAAUUGUGGAGUAGAGGGAACAGGGAAAUAAUAGGAAAAAGGGAAAAUGAUCCAGAGUUAAGAGAACUUGAUCACUGAAACAAUUUUCAUCUUUUGUUUCUGUAGUUUUCUAUGGUUCUUGUACUUACUGGGGACUACAAAUAGCAAGAUAGAUGUAUUAUCUUGAGCAGGAUUCUGUCCUGUAUAUCUUUGUAUCCCUCACAGUGUCUAGUGUAGUGCUGGGCACAUAGUUUGUUCUUAAUAUAAAGGUCUGAAUGAAUGACCCAAACCUGCAAGAGUUGAGACAAUAUAUAAUGGAGGCAAGGGGUGCUGGCUUGAGGCACAGGAGCAGCCCCUAAUGAGCAAGGCUUGACAGUGUCUUGCCUCUAUCAAGGUGAUGCCUUGCACAACUUUAGCUGGCUCCUAUGAUCAAUCUUCCAAAUUAGAACCUUCUCCAAAUCUUCUCAGGAAGGUACUUACAUGCCUCCUCCUUCCUCCUCCACUACUUUCUCCACUCCUUUCUCUUCUCCCUCCUCCUCUGCUUCCUCUACUCCCUCCUUUUCUUCCUCCUCUUCCUCUUUCUCCCCUUCCAAGGCUCUUGAUGUCUUCAUACCUCUGAACAAGUCUGGGUGGUUGGAAAAAGAUGAUCUCUGGAAGCUUUUGAUUGGAGGAUGAGAGAUCUAUGGUUCUUUCAAUUCAUAAGAUGUAGAGGGCUUUCAAAAAAUGCAUAUGAAAAUUGGGGGUUGUUCUAUGUAAGAUGUUUGCUGAAAUUAAUACCCUAGACACAGUCUCCAGAAAGGGGUUUACUCCUGCAUGGUAACAUGCAUGCUAUGUUAUCUUUGGCCUUGGAUCUCAAUCUUUACCCAGAUAUUAUAAUUCAUGAAUAUCUGGUGGAAGUGUCCUGUGUGCACUUCCCCUAAUGCAGAAAGGAAAUCCUUGAAAUCCUUGAAGACGAUAGUCUUAGUAAGCAAGUAUGACCUUAGUCACUUGUUUACUUGCUUUAGUAAGACCUAUUUGGCACCAUAAACAUCCAUAUAUCUAACACAGAAUUUCCCAGUCAGGGUUCCACGUGGAGCAGUAUAGCAUAGUGGAUAAGUGUGAGGGCUUGGGACUACUGACUGCUCAAAUUUUACCUCUGUUGUUUGAUGUUGGGAAAGUCACUCAAUCUCUCUCUGUGCUUCGGUUUACUAACCUGUAAAAAAGGGCAAUAUAAAUUACCUUACAUUGAUGUUAUGAAGGUUAGGUUAAAUGACAAAACACUUGUAGUGUGCUUAAACACAGUGCUUAGCAUAUAAUAACUAUACAAUUAUUGGUAGUUAUUACGUAAAUUUCUUCCUAGAACAUAAACUUUGGCAAGUGAUGGCCCUGGAUAGUGUCUCUCUUACUAUCAUGUCCUUGCCCUCAGCUUCUGAGGCUUAUGAAGAUUCUCUGGGCACAGAGACUCAGGCUGUCUCCUGGCCCACAGAGUGUGGAACAAGUGGGAGCUUGUAAGCUAAGUAGGAUGUCAUUUUGAGUCACCACUGCUCUAAUUUCUUUAGACAUUUCUGAAGAACAAUUGGAUUCCCUUCAGUUUUAAUUUCCCUACCUUCUCAGAUAAAUUUUCCAAAUGUCCACUUCCCAUUUCUUCGAUCAAAGCCAGAGUUGAAGGAAGCUGGCCUUCAAUCUCCAACCAGGCUGAGAGCACCAUUUGAGCUCAAGAGCAAAUUGUAUUGGAAAAGAAGCAGAACCACUGACUGAAAUGAAUUGUCAUUAAAUGAGGCUUUAAAUGAAACCACAAGGCAGAGCCUUGUCCUAAUUGGCAGUGGAGUUAAUUGGGUAAGAGGCCAAUUCCAGAUGUCCCAUUGCAGAACUUUUAAAACUUGCUCCCUGCUUCUCUUACUUCUUGCCCAAAACUUGCUCCCUGCUUCUCUUACUUCCUGCCCCUGACUGCCUUUGAAAGAUGAUGAUCAUUGGGCAAAGAUAGCACUUAGCUAUUUAACAUCUUUUAAAAAUCUAUAAUCUACAAAUUGAGUGCAGGAAUAGAAAAUGUCAGAACCAUGAUACAAUUCGAAAUGUUUCAUGUGGUAGGGUGGAUAAUGGUGUCCCAAAUACGUACAUGUUCUAAUCCAUGGACUGUGAAUAUGUUACUUUACAUGCAAAAUAAACUUUGCCUAUGCAAAUAAGAUAAGAAUCUUGAUACAGAAGGAUUAUCCCAGAUUAUCCAGGUAGGCUCGAUGUAAUCACAAGGGUCCUAAUGAGAGAGAUGAGGAAAGAGUCAGAGGCAGAGGAGCAGAUAUGAUGACAGAAGCAGAGAUUAGAGUGAUGAUGUGGAAGGUGGAGGAAGGGGCCAAAAGCCAAGGAAUACAGGCGGCCACUGGAAGCUGAAAGAGACAAGUAAAUGGAUUUUCCCUUCUGAGCCUCUAGAAGGAACUAGCCCUGCCUGCACCACAACUUUAACCCAGUGAGACCCAUUUCAGUCUACUGACCUCCAGAACCAUAAGAGAAUACAUUUGUGUUGUUUUAAGCCAACUCUCUCCCAAAUACUCCCAGAUAUGCUGUAGAGCCAGAAAUGUCCCAAAUUAGAAGUAUUGCUUUGGAUGAUAUCAAUGAAGGACACAAUUGUUUUUAACAAUUGUGGAAGCUUUUAAAACUUCCACUGAAAUGCAAAGGGAAAUGUGUUAGGCAACAUUCAGCCUGUUAUGCCUUUUUCUGACUGGCUAGCAGAGAGCACGGAAGAGGACACAAGAUGCAGGGAUUUCUGGGCCUUGGGGCAUGAAAUUGAUGGGUGGGAUCUGUGUGGCUGCAUCCAGCAAGUGAUACCUGGGAUGAGAGGAUGCCACAAGGGACAGAGCCUGAAAACAAAAUCCCAUUUAUCACACUUCUUGAGUUUUCAUCCAGUGAAAAACUCAGUACUUCGGAUGUGAGCAUCACCUAUGUCACUAAUCCACCUUCAAGCCUGUUCCAUAAAGCUCCUGGUGAGCUUAAAGAAAGAACUUUUUGCACUUGUCUAGACUUACAAACUCUCUGACUUGAGACUGACUUCUCUUUGGUCUACCCUUGUAGUAUUUGGUCUCCUUUUGGUAUUCCAAUAUCCGCCAACUUCUACUGUCUAUUUUGGACUCCUGGUCUCCUCUAACUUCAGCUCUUUGGGCUGCCUGCCAGGCACAUUUCUCUUCUUUCUUACAGCCUUGAGUUUCCUCCUUCCAAGAAUUCUUUGCCCUAAUCUGUAAACCAUUGCCACCCAGCCCCUGGCACCAAAGCCACCAUUAGACCCUGAUUAGGAGACCUCUCAGAUUCUUUAUGAGAUGACCCUGAGAGACAAUUAUCCUCUACACUGCACACUUUCCAGGGUAUUUUGGCCUUUAUAAUAAGAAAGAGCAGAUUUACAGAUGAAGGAUCUUCAAUCCCAAAACCUGCUCUCUGUGUCUGCAAUGAAUAUACUCCAUCACUUGCUUUUCCAUACCUCUGAUCUCACUCCCAGAGCACUGCAACAAAAGUCCAGAAAAGUGAGGGUCUUUGAACCCAUUAGCAGCUCCACAAGCCCCAUAUCCACUUGUAGUUUGAUGAAAAUGAGAAGCAUGGAUCUGAUCAGUUGGGCCUUUAUAGAUGCAUGUCAGAUCUACAUGAGUAAUAUGAUCUUCGAGCAACCCAGAAAGGAGAGAUUUUCUGUUUCUUAAGUCCCUUGCCUCAGAGUCAAUACAGUCAAUACCAUCCAAGAAAGGAUCUGUAGCCUAGGAUAUAUAACAGAUUCACUUAUUAUGAUAUCAGGAUGCCUGAGGCAAAUCCAUCCAAAUAUGAGUGCUGGCUUCUUAGGAACUGGACAAGUGAGCUCAGGUACUGUAAAGGAGCACCUAUGACUUGUUUUCCAGGUCUAAGUUGCACAAUCACAAGAGCCCAAGAAUGUCAAAUAAUCCACAUCAAAUUCUCAAAUAGCAAGACAUGAUAUGUUCUCAAUUCCCAGGCCAUGUUUGUUAUUAAAUGAUGUUCUAGCCCUUUGACAAUACCUGCUGUUAGAACCAGGGCUUGGGUGGUGGUGGAACAGGCCACAGUGUGAAUAGACAAGACCUGGGAAUUCAGGAAGUUUUCCUUGGUCAGGAGAAGCCUGUGGCUGGGACAAGUAUGAUGUGGUUUGGAUGUUUGUCACCUCGAAAUCUCAUUUUGAAACGUAAUUUCCAAUGUUGGAGGUGGGGCCUGAUGGGAGGUGAUUGAAUCAUGGGGGAAGCUCCCUCAUGAACAGCUUAGCACCAUCCACUUGGUGAUAAGUGAGUUCUUGCUCAGUUAGUUUGCAUGAGAUCUGAUUGUUUAAAAGAGUCUGGGACUUCCCCCCUCUCUCUCUCUCUCCUGCUCUCACCAUGUGACAUACCUUGCCUGCUCCUGCUUUACUUUCCACCAUGAUUGUAAGCUUCCUGAGGCCCUCACCAGAAGCCAAGCAGAUGUUGAUGCCACGCUUGUACAUCCCACAGAACUGUGAGCCAAUUAAACUUCUUUUUUUUAUAAAUUACCCAGUCUCAGGUAUUCCUUUAUAGUAACAUAAAAAUGGACUAACACAAAGAUUUAAUUCCAAGGUUUAAUGAUUUGAUUAUUACAGGGUUGAGUACAUGGUGGUUUGACUCCAAAAGUAGGUUCAGAAUCAUAUCAGACCUAAGAGGGAUAAGAGCAGGUAAAAUGUGAGAAUAAGUAUCCCCGGUGACAAACUGAACCAAGAACCUGGCUAUUGGCCAAGCAGGAGUGAGGCAGUUGACCAAUGGCCAUCUAAGUAGUUGGCAAUUGCCAAAGUUCAUUCAGAUUAGCAGCUGGUGAAUUAUCAAGGAAUGAUGGAAGUGGGUAUUAGGGAUUCAGUUCCAGAUUCAGGCUAGGAAACAGAUUUUUUGUGUGUAGGAAAUCUAGUUCCAGUACUAGGAUACCAGGCAAGGAAUUAGACACUGGGGAUGAAAGACAUGGAAGGGCUCCGAUUAUGAAGGUAUAUAUUUUCUGUGUCAGUAGAAAAAUAUGACUCAGUGCUGUGUUGCUGAAUUAUUUUCUUCAAACUCUUCCUGAUUAGUGGCCUCUUCCAGUCUAUUAUUCACAAUAUAGCCAGAGUGAGCUUUUCAACACUCUAAGCUGAUCGCAUUGUUUUAAUUGCUCUUAGGAUAAAGACCAGAUGCGUUAUUAAUCUCUAGAAGGUUCUGCAUGGUUUGGCUCUCGCCUGCCUUUUUAGCCUCAUCUCCCACCAUUUCUCCUUUCACUCUUGGCACUCUAGCUGCACUGGUUUUCUGUGAAAUCCUCAGGUCUCUACUGUCUCUCAGAGCUGUUGCACAUUGUAAUUCCUUCUGCUCAGAGUGUAUGUUACCCCUUUUUUCAUUCUUCCAGUCUCAAUUUAAAUGUCACAACAUCAGGAAGGUCUUCUCUGAUUUGUCUAAAGAAAUGACCCCUUAUUCUUUAUAAUGCUUCUACUGACCAUCAUCAUUUACACUUACAAGUCACACCCACUAACCUUGCCUACCGUGACCAGCGAGCUCACCACCUCCUGUGCACCACUUUCAUCGGCGUUACCUCUCCAAUAUCCUGAUCAUUUCAUCACUAUUCCCCACUGUCAUGCAUAUCACCACACCCUCUAGCUCCAUCCAUCACCACCAACCUCAUCCACCCCUUCUAUAACCCAUGCUCCGCUUUGGCCCAUCUCUCUACCAGUGCUGAUUAGCCACACUCAAAAGCCCCACACAUUACCAUCAGCCACGCCAUCCUUUGCCCAUCAAACAGUUCCAAACACUAGCAGCCCUACCUCACCACCCCUCCUAAUGAGCACGGGUCCUCCUGCUUACGGUUCAGACAUCAGCCAGCUUCAGUAAUGUCUUCUUUGACCAUUCAGUCUGGAUAAGGUUUCCUUGUUUUCACUUCUCAUAGCCCCCUCCCUGCCCUUCUUCUUCACAGUUCUGAUCACAAUGCUAAUCAUGCAGUACUUUAGGUGGUUGUGCUUAGUGGUUGUCACCCUCACAGGUUUAUGUCUAUUUAUUCAUUGCUAUUUUCCUUGUACCUAGACACACAGUAUAUCUAAAAAAACUUUGCUGAAUCUUGUUGUAUCAAGUUACAGAUUAAAAAGCCCAAAGCUCUAAUCAGCUAAAUAAUGUACUCAGGGUUGCAUGUCUAAUAAGUGCCAGAGGUGGGAUUCAAACCCAGGUCUGGCUGACUAUAAAUCCUGUGGGUUCUUAACCAUUAUAUCAAUGGUUUUUGCCAGUCCAGCAGUGUCAGUUCAUUUGGGAACUCAUUAGAAAUGCAAAUUCUCAGGUACUGCCUCAGACUUACUGAAUCAGAAACCCUGCAGGUGAGGCCCAGCACUUUGUGUUUUAACAGGUCCUCCAGGUGAUUCUGAGGCCCAAUCAAGUGUGAGAACCACUGCUGUACAUGACAUUUCCCAUCAUAUGGUUUCCACUUGGUAAAAGAUCCAUGUUGUUCUCGGUCUAUGCAAAUAGCCCCAAUGCUACCUAGUAUGGGGCUCAGUAUAUGAUAGGUCUUUAAUAAGUAUGUGUUGAAUAAGUGAAUUGAGCUCUUGGGUACAUUAGGUUUUGAAAGACAUGAGUAGGGUUUCUUUUUUUUUUUUUAUCAAAACCACAGAGGGACAGUGAAAAUACCAUAGAAAGCCUAAUAUAAGGGACAUGACACUUGCCUGGAGAAAAGUUUUCAAAAUGAAAUUAUUUAUUACCUUCUUUCAAACUCCUCCUUUCAGGUCAAUCUUUUCUAUGAAAAGAUUGUCUCUGACCCCUAUGGUUCAUAUUGAUAGCCCUCUUAUUUGGCUUCUUUGCAGCAUUUAGUGUAUCACUUAAGCUAUGCUUGGAUUAUAUGUGAUGCAUUUUUUGAGUGUCUCAGAUAUAUAAGUCAUAGUCUCCAUAAUGAAACUAUAUUCUCUUUAGCACAUGGACUGUGUCUUUUCUUUUGCCUCUUCUAGUUUCUACCAUGGCCUUAAUAUAUAGUAAGAUGUUGGGAUAAUGUUUUAAUAAAUUAUCCUGUGUGUGUUUGUGUGUCUGUGUGUGUGCUUAUACCUAGCCCUUUCAAUAGUCAGCAAACACAUUCAUCACCUAAGAGAAAGGCUGUUAUAAUAGAAAAGCAGAAGACCAAAAAAAAGUAAAUUCGUAGCCUUUGAGUUUUAAAAGCCUAUUUCGAUUUUCAGGAACUGGAGCUUUCGAGCUUCAAAGGCCCAAGUCCUAAAGAACCCAGAAGAUGCACUUCAUGACAUACACACUAGAUUUGAAAGGAUACGGGAUAAGUUAAAGCCUGUUUUCCUCUUCCCCAAACUAGAUGAAGAUUCUAUCAGAUAUGAGAAAAGUGAGAAUUAGAACAAAAGAGUGAGUCCUUAGUGAGUCCUUUAACAGAGGUGCUGUAACAUGAUGUUGUGGACCAAGACCCAAAUUGAAAAAAUAUUAAUAAUACAACCCUCAAUGGGGCAUGUGAGUAGAGAAAUCUGAGAGCAGAUAAGACUGUUCCUUGCCUCUCCCCCACAUAGAGGUUUUUGAGCAGUUCCCCUGAACCUAGCCUGACACCAGAGCAGUAGUGUCGACUGCACAUAUUAUAUGUCAGAAGACAGGCCUUGAGACCACCUCACAAUUCCCUAGACUCUGG